UAUAUUUACGUUUCGUCUUACGAUUCUACGAAUUACGAUUUUAUGCCAGCUCAUCGAGUCGAAGUAAAAACUACGAGUUUACUACCUUGGUUACCAAUUCCUAUUCCUAAACACACUAGGAUUCAUAUUCUCCCAGAAACCCUCUCGCAAACCGUUGCAUGUUUUUUCGCUCAGUGCUUUCAAUCGGUGCUCACAAUCAUUGUUUCCUUUGAAAUCAAGAAUCAAAAAAUCAUUCUCCAUUACAAUCUCUUCCUCUUCCUCUUUCUAUAAGAAGAGUUGCAUUAUUCUAAUCUGAUCGUAGUGUGCGUGAGUGAUUGAAUCGGAAAUGCGAUGAAAAGGGGAAAAUUCAAGAGCAAGCCCACCGGUUGCCACCAGUUCUCCAUGCCAGAAGAUCUCUCCGCUUUCGGACUUCGCUGGCUAUGGAGUUUACAUAACACAUUCUUUCCUUGAUCACUUGUGUCCUUUCAGGCAAAAACAAUCGGAAAGGAUACUACAUUUAUGAAAAGGGUAGCAAGCCAAAACCCGAUCUUUCAAUACUACCAAUUGUUGAAGAGUCGAGAAGACUUGCCAAUAUUAUGCAUGGUGGAAAGCUUGUGUAGUGAAGCCGAUAGCAUUUAUUUCUUUUGCAGCCUAUAUCUAUUACUGACCAAGAGAUUUUAGAGAUGAUACUCUUUCCAAUAGUGAACGAGGCAUGCCGUGUUUUAGAUGAAGGAAUGGUUAUUCGAGCAUCAGACCUCGACAUUGCUUGUGUUCUUGGGAUGAGCUUCCCUAGGUACAGCUUUCUAGUUGGGGCGAAGCAUGUAUAUAACAGCCUAAAGAAAUGGUCAGAAUUAUAUGGUAACUUCUAUAAGCCAUCAAGGUAUCUGGAGGAAAGGGCAAUUCAGGGCAUUCCUUUGAUAUCAGACGUCCAAUUGAAGAUGGAAUGAACACAAGGCUUCUGCAACCGUGCAAGCUCAACUCCUCAAGACCUACCAAAUUUUGCAUUGUUGAAGGGAGCUUCUUGAGAUUUGAGCAACCACGAAGAUAUAGUUUUCUUAGCCAUUUCAGCUUAAAAAGGUUAAUUGGAAGGGAUGUGAGGGAUUCACAAUAAGAGAGAUCUAACCAACAAAGCUCUGAGAGACUUGGAAAUAAUGAUGAAGGUGAAUGGUUGGAAAGUGAAAACUUUACUUGGGAUUCCAGACCACCUGCAGAGAUGAACUUGGUUGACUGGUUUAAGGGAAUGGUAAUAAGUCGUCGCAGCGAUGAGCUAGUCAAGCAGAUAAAUACAUUUUUCUAAGAUUAGUAUAAGGAUUAAGUUUUUUAUGUACAUAGUAUCACUUUUUCUUUUCUUUUUUAUAUGGAAUGUUUAUAGAGUUUAAGUGCUAUAAGUAUUUUUUUCUUUUUCCAUUUUAUUUGCAUCACGAAGCAAAUUUGUACAAUGAUUAUUGAUUAAUGAAAGAGGCUAUAAAAAUUUCAUUUUGUGAA